UACGGAGGGUGCAAGCGUUGUCCGGAUUUAUUGGGUUUAAAGGGUGCGUAGGCGGUCUUUUAAGUCAGCGGUGAAAUCCUCCAGCUUAACUGGAGAACUGCCAUUGAUACUGGAAGGCUUGAGUACAGACGAGGUAGGCGGAAUUGACAGUGUAGCGGUGAAAUGCAUAGAUAUUGUCAAGAACACCGAUUGCGAAGGCAGCUUACUAGACUGUAACUGACGCUGAGGCACGAAAGUGUGGGGAUCAAACAGG
rnacentral:rRNA from 1 species